AACGAACGCUGGCGGCGUGCCUAACACAUGCAAGUCGAGGGAGAAAGGGGGCUUCGGUCUCCGAGUAAACCGGCGCACGGGUGAGUAACACGUAGGUAACGUACCCUUGAGUCUGGGAUAACCAGUCGAAAGACUGGCUAAUACCAGAUACGACCGCGGAAACCCCGGUUUCUGCAGUGAAAGAAUGGCCUCUGCUUGCAAGCUAUCACUCGUGGAUCGGCCUGCGCACCAUUAGCUAGUUGGUGAGGUAACGGCUCACCAAGGCUGAGAUGGUUAGCUGGUCUGAGAGGAUGGCCAGCCACACUGGGACGUGAGACACGGCCCAGACUCCUACGGGAGGCAGCAGUGGGGAAUAAUUGCGCAAAUGGGCGAAAGCCUGACGCAGCGACGCCGCGUGGGUGAUGAAGGCC
rnacentral:rRNA from 1 species